rnacentral:rRNA from 1 species
UACAGAGGGGGCAAGCGUUGCUCGGAUUGACUGGGCGUAAAGGGCGCGUAGGCGGUUCGUACAGUCAGACGUGAAAUUCCUGGGCUCAACCUGGGGGCUGCGUUUGAUACGUGCGGACUUGAGUGCGGAAGAGGGUCGUGGAAUUCCCAGUGUAGAGGUGAAAUUCGUAGAUAUUGGGAAGAACACCGGUGGCGAAGGCGGCGACCUGGUCCGAUACUGACGCUGAGGCGCGAAAGCGUGGGGAGCAAACAGG